rnacentral:rRNA from 1 species
CCUACGGGUGGCAGCAGUGGGGAAUAUUGGACAAUGGGGGCAACCCUGAUCCAGCCAUGCCGCGUGUGUGAAGAAGGCCCUCGGGUUGUAAAGCACUUUCAGUGAGGAAGAACGCCUGGUGGUUAAUACCCAUCAGGAAAGACAUCACUCACAGAAGAAGCACCGGCUAACUCCGUGCCAGCAGCCGCGGUAAUACGGAGGGUGCGAGCGUUAAUCGGAAUUACUGGGCGUAAAGCGCGCGUAGGUGGCUUGAUAAGCCAGUUGUGAAAGCCCCGGGCUCAACCUGGGAACGGCAUCCGGAACUGUCAAGCUAGAGUGCAGGAGAGGAAGGUAGAAUUCCCGGUGUAGCGGUGAAAUGCGUAGAGAUCGGGAGGAAUACCAGUGGCGAAGGCGGCCUUCUGGACUGACACUGACACUGAGGUGCGAAAGCGUGGGUAGCAAACAGGAUUAGAUACCCUGGUAGUC